rnacentral:rRNA from 1 species
AGAGUUUGAUCCUGGCUCAGAUUGAACGCUGGCGGCAUGCCUAACACAUGCAAGUCGAGCGAUAGUUGGUAGCUUGCUACUAACUAUAGCGGCGGACGGGUGAGUAACGCGUAGGAAUCUGCCUUAGAGUGUGGGAUAACUUGGGGAAACUCGAGCUAAUACCGCAUAAUAACCUGAGGGUGAAAGGGGGGGAUCGUAAGACCUUCUGCUCUAAGAUGAGCCUGCGUCGGAUUAGCUAGUUGGUGGGGUAAAGGCCUACCAAGGCGAUGAUCCGUAGCUGGUCUGAGAGGAUGAUCAGCCACACUGGGACUGAGACACGGCCCAGACUCCUACGGGAGGCAGCAGUGGGGAAUAUUGGACAAUGGGGGCAACCCUGAUCCAGCAAUGCCGCGUGUGUGAAGAAGGCCUGCGGGUUGUAAA